rnacentral:rRNA from 1 species
AAGACGGUGGAGUAGUGUGGUUUAAUUCGAUGCAACGCGAAGAACCUUACCUGGUCUUGACAUCCCGGAGACCCUUAGGAAACUAGGGGGUGCUUCCAUCUGGAAGAAUCUGGAGACAGGUGCUGCAUGGCUGUCGUCAGCUCGUGUCGUGAGAUGUUGGGUUAAGUCCCGCAACGAGCGCAACCCUUGCCUUUAGUUGCCAGCAGUUCGGCUGGGCACUCUAAAGGGACUGCCGGUGUUAAACCGGAGGAAGGUGGGGAUGACGUCAAGUCCUCAUGGCCUUUAUGACCAGGGCUACACACGUACUACAAUGGCCGAUACAAAGGGCAGCGACACUGCGAGGUGAAGCCAAUCCCGUAAAAUCGGUCUCAGUCCGGAUUGGAGUCUGCAACUCGACUCCAUGAAGUUGGAAUCGCUAGUAAUCGUGGAUCAGCAUGCCACCCGGUGAAUACGUUCCCGGGCCUU